UAGGGAAUCUUCGGCAAUGGACGAAAGUCUGACCGAGCAACGCCGCGUGAGUGAAGAAGGUUUUCGGAUCGUAAAACUCUGUUGUUAGAGAAGAACGUUGCAUAGAGUGGAAAAUUAUGCAAGUGACGGUAUCUAACCAGAAAGGGACGGCUAACUACGUGCCAGCAGCCGCGGUAAUACGUAGGUCCCGAGCGUUGUCCGGAUUUAUUGGGCGUAAAGCGAGCGCAGGUGGUUUAAUAAGUCUGAUGUAAAAAGGCAGUGGCUCAACCAUUGUGUGCAUUGGAAACUGUUAGACUUGAGUGCAGUAGAGGAGAGUGGAAUUCCAUGUGUAGCGGUGAAAUACGUAGAUAUAUGGAGGAACACCGGUGGCGAAAGCGGCUCUCUGGACUGUCACUGACACUGAGGCUCGAAAGCGUGGGUAGCAAACAGGAUUAGAUACCCUGGUAGUCCACGCCGUAAACGAUGAGUGCUAGUUGUUUGGGGCUAUCCAGCCCUAA
rnacentral:rRNA from 1 species